rnacentral:rRNA from 1 species
UAUCUCUGUAGAGUCUGCAUAUCAAUAAGCGGAGGAAAAGAAACUAACAUAGGAUUCCCUCAGUAACGGCGAGUGAAGCGGGAAGAGCUCAAAUUUGAAAUCUUCAAGGUUCUACCUUGACGAAUUAGUAGUUUAAAGAAGUGUUUUCUGUUGGAUGUUUUGGUAAAAGUUCCUUGGAAUAGGACAUCAUAGAGGGUGAGAAUCCCGUAUUUGACCAUUACUUCCAGCGUUGUGAUACACUUUCAAAGAGUCGGAUUGUUUGGGAAUGCAGUCCAAAAUGGGUGGUAAAUUUCAUCUAAAGGCUAAAUAUUGGCGAGAGACCGAUAGCGAACAAGUACCGUGAGGGAAAGAUGGAAAAGAACUUUGAAAAGAGAGUUAAACAGUACGUGAAAUUGUCAAAAGGGAAGCGUUUGACACCAGUGUUGUUUUUCCGAAAAAUCAAUUACGAAUGGCUUGAUUCUGUGUUGUAUUGACCUUAUCAGCUUUCUGCACUUUUUUCGAGUCUUUCUUAAUGCACUUUUCGGUUAACAAGUCAACAUCAAUUUCUUUUGUUGUAAAAGAGUAUUCGGAAGGUGGCUUUCUUUUCGGAGAAAGUGUUUAUAGCCCUAUACUUCUACAAUCGGAGAGAUUGAGGUCUGCAGCGUAGAUCCUUCGGGGUUAGAUACACUUGUGCUAAGUUGUAGCUUUUCAUAGACAACUUGUUGACUAUGUUUAGUCAUGCGGCUUACUCGCUUGUGCUAUUUUACCUACGCUUAGGAUGUUGAAGAUGUAGCACAUCAU